UACGUAGGAUCCAAGCGUUGUCCGGAUUUACUGGGUGUAAAGGGUGCGCAGGCGGACUUGUAAGUCAGGGGUGAAAUCUCACAGCUUAACUGUGAAACUGCCUUUGAUACUGCAAGUCUUGGAUCCAGAAGAGAGUUGUGGAAUUCCGAGUGUAGCAGUGAAAUGUGUAGAUAUUCGGAAGAACACCAGUGGCGAAGGCAGCAACUUGGUCUGGUAUCGACGCUCAGGCACGAAAGCAUGGGGGAUCAAACAGG
rnacentral:rRNA from 1 species